GAUGAACGCUGGCGGCGUGCCUAACACAUGCAAGUCGAGCGAUUCUCUUCGGAGAAGAGCGGCGGACGGGUGAGUAACGCGUGGGUAACCUGCCCUGUACACACGGAUAACAUACCGAAAGGUAUGCUAAUACGAGAUAAUAUGCUUUUAUCGCAUGGUAGAAGUAUCAAAGCUUUUGCGGUCCAGGAUGGACCCGCGUCUGAUUAGCUAGUUGGUAAGGUAACGGCUUACCAAGGCGACGAUCAGUAGCCGACCUGAGAGGGUGAUCGGCCACAUUGGCACUGAGCCACGGUCCAAACUCCUACGGGAGGCAGCAGUGGGGAAUAUUGCACAAUGGGCGAAAGCCUGAUGCAGCAACGCCGCGUGAGCGAUGAAGGCCUUCGGGUAGUAAAGUUCUGUCCUCAAGGAAGAUAAUGACGGUACUUGAGGAGGAAGCCCCGGCUAACUACGUG
rnacentral:rRNA from 1 species